rnacentral:tRNA from 1 species
GGGGUUGUAGCUUAGUUGGUAGAGUGCUUGCCUUGCAUGCAUAAGGCCCUGGGUUCAAUCCCCAGCAUCACCA